GAUGAACGCUGGCGGCGUGCCUAAUACAUGCAAGUCGAGCGAACAGAUAAGGAGCUUGCUCCUUUGACGUUAGCGGCGGACGGGUGAGUAACACGUGGGUAACCUACCUAUAAGACUGGAAUAACUCCGGGAAACCGGGGCUAAUGCAGGAUAACAUGUUGAACCGCAUGGUUCUACAGUGAAAGGCGGCUUUGCUGUCACUUAUAGAUGGACCCGCGCCGUAUUAGCUAGUUGGUGAGGUAACGGCUCACCAAGGCAACGAUACGUAGCCGACCUGAGAGGGUGAUCGGCCACACUGGAACUGAGACACGGUCCAGACUCCUACGGGAGGCAGCAGUAGGGAAUCUUCCGCAAUGGGCGAAAGCCUGACGGAGCAACGCCGCGUGAGUGAUGAAGGUCUUCGGAUCGUAAAACUCUGUUAUUAGGGAAGAACAAAUGCGUAAGUAACUGUGCGCGUCUUGACGGUACCUAAUCAGAAAGCCACGGCUAACUACGU
rnacentral:rRNA from 1 species